GCCAGACAUCAUCAUCGAAUCUCUGUGUUUACAUAGUCUAGCUAUAAAAUGUUAUAUAGCUCUGCUCUGGGGUUUAUUCUUUGAUUUUAAUAAAUGAUAUUUAAAUUGAGGCCUAUUAACUGAUCCAAACUAAAAGCUGAAAAAUAUGGGGAGUGAUCGCAAGGUUCCUUAAAACUAAGUGUACCAUACUCAAGAUAUGUAUGUCAGGGAGAGACAGCUUACGUCAGAAAACAAAAUCAAAUCUUUCGAAAAUGAACAAAUUGGCGUUUUUUGCAAAUUGUGAAGGCACUACCAAAAUUAUGUUAGUAGUGAAGGUGUGACUGAAGGGGCUAUUAUUUAUUGUGGGCUUGGCAGCUUUUUUUGAAGCGCAAGAUGUCAACGAUAUACAAAUAUCCUAUGCGCAUUUUGUAGUUUGAAAACAUGACAAGGAUUGGACAUUGAAAUACUCAUAAGACGGGCAAAUAUUUUUCUAUCAGAUAAUCCAACCACACGAACACAAUUUUAGUUUCUUUUUAUGAAUGUUCACCAAAAUAAACUGUAUCGUCAAAACGA